GUGAGUCAUCGAAUCUUUGAACGCACAUUGCGCCCCCUGGUAUUCCGGGGGGCAUGCCUGUCCGAGCGUCAUUGCUGCCCUCAAGCACGGCUUGUGUGUUGGGCUCCGUCCCCCCGGGGACGGGUCCGAAAGGCAGCGGCGGCACCGAGUCCGGUCCUCGAGCGUAUGGGGCUUUGUCACCCGCUCUGUAGGCCCGGCCGGCGCCAGCCGACAACCAAUCAUCCUUUUCAGGUUGACCUCGGAUCAGGUAGGGAUACCCGCUGAACUUAAGCAUAUCAAUAAGCGGAGGA
rnacentral:misc_RNA from 1 species